AACGAACGCUGGCGGCGCGCCUAACACAUGCAAGUCGUACGAGAAACACGUCCUUCGGGAUGUGGAGUAAAGUGGCGCACGGGUGAGUAACACGUGGGUAACCUGCCUUGGGGAUCGGGAUAACUGGCCGAAAGGCCCGCUAAUACCGGAUGAGACCACAUGAGCUACGGCUCAAGGGGUCAAAGUCGGCCUCUCAACGAAGCCGGCACCACAAGAUGGGCCCGCGGACCAUUAGCUAGUUGGUAGGGUAACGGCCUACCAAGGCUGAGAUGGUUAGCUGGUAGUGGAGGAUGAUCAGCCACACUGGAACUGGGAUACGGUCCAGACUCCUACGGGAGGCAGCAGUGAGGAAUAUUGCGAAAUGGAGGAAACUCUGACGCAGCAACGCCGCGUGGGUGAAGAAGGCUUUCGGGUUGUAAAGCCCUGUCAGGCGGGAAGAAACUUCCGCAGGUGAAUAGUCUGUGGAACUGACGGUACCGCCAAAGGAAGCACCGGCUAACUCCGUGCCAGCCGCCGCAGUAA
rnacentral:rRNA from 1 species